AUGAAUAUGGGUUGGUGUUAACAAUGAUGAUGGAUAAAAAAACAUUAAUUGAUAAUGCUAUAAAUAAUAAUUGUCAAAAAAAUUAUAUAAAUAAUAAAUAAAACAAUAAUUGCUUAAAAAACCAGUAAUUAAAAAAAGAUAAUUAUAACUAACCCAAAAAAAAAGAUAAUUAUAACAAUAAUAAAUUCCUUUUAAAAAAAU
rnacentral:lncRNA from 1 species